rnacentral:rRNA from 1 species
CACUCCUACGGGAGGCAGCAGUGGGGAAUAUUGGACAAUGGGCGCAAGCCUGAUCCAGCCAUGCCGCGUGAGUGAUGAAGGCCCUAGGGUUGUAAAGCUCUUUCACCGGAGAAGAUAAUGACGGUAUCCGGAGAAGAAGCCCCGGCUAACUUCGUGCCAGCAGCCGCGGUAAUACGAAGGGGGCUAGCGUUGUUCGGAAUUACUGGGCGUAAAGCGCACGUAGGCGGAUCGAUCAGUCAGGGGUGAAAUCCCAGGGCUCAACCCUGGAACUGCCUUUGAUACUGUCGAUCUGGAGUAUGGAAGAGGUGAGUGGAAUUCCGAGUGUAGAGGUGAAAUUCGUAGAUAUUCGGAGGAACACCAGUGGCGAAGGCGGCUCACUGGUCCAUUACUGACGCUGAGGUGCGAAAGCGUGGGGAGCAAACAGGAUUAGAAACCCCGGUAGUCCC